UGGGGUUUCCCUCAGAUGUCUCUCUGAAAACACGCUCUGCCCUGUGCGUGACUUUACACAGCUGCUGUGUGUGUGUGUGUGUGUGUGUGUGCAGCCAUCAGCGCACGGAGCCGCGCCGCACCCCCGGCUGCAGCGGUGACCCGCCGCCUCUCUCUCGCGCACGGGAGGCGCAGGGAAGUGCGGGGCCUGGUGCGGCGGCGCUGUCUGAGCCCCAUGGCGGAGCUCCCACUGGCUGCGGCGGGCCCGGCCGGAGGCGGCAGGCUCGGGCUCCAGGCGGUCACGGCCCCGGAUCCCCGGCCUGCGCGGAGAGGGCGACCAAUGGCGGGAGGGCAUAAAGGGAACGCGUCGGCGGCGGGGGCUGGCCCCUGGCUUCUUGCAGUGGUGCAUUGUGGGGUAGUGGAGGACCCGCGUUGCGGAUGGAGGGGGAGUCGAGCCGUGGGGCUGUCAUGGCGACUAACAUCGAGCAGAUCUUUCGGUCCUUUGUGGUCAGCAAGUUCCGGGAGAUCCAGGAGGAGCAGGAGCAGCAGCAGCAGCUGGGCGGGUGUAGAGGAAGAUUCAGUGAAAAAUACCUCUCCCUGUACAAAAAGAGGCCCCACUGACGAAGUAGAAGAUGAAAUUCCAAGAAAAAAGUCAAAAAAGAACAAAAAACACAAAAGCAAGAAGAAGAAGAAGAAAAAGAAGAAGAAAAGGAAGAAAGAAAAAAAACAUAAAAAGCAGCCAAAGGAAUCAAAAUUAAGUGCACAGUAUGGAGAGCGUGCAGAUUUACAACCUGCUUCUCACUCAGAGACAGAAAAAUUGGGCUCAAAGUUGAUCACACGGCAUGGAGGACAUGCAGAUUCAGAUCUGGCUGGUCAAAUGCAGCCAGAAGAAUUGGGCACAAAAUUGAGUGCAGAGUACAUGGGACAUUCAAUUAAAAGACUCACACCUCAUUUACUAUCAGAUUCUGAAUCAUCUGUGGAAAAACUUGGGAGUGAAAAAACAAACUUGGCCUUGACUGAUACACAUAGUACAAUCAAUUCAGAAACCAGUAAAUUGGAUACCCUGGAAGAAAAUACUAGUACAAUGAAAAUUCAAGAGCAAGCUAAUGUAAAAUUAUUGGUGAAUAAGACUCAUGAAAGUAUAUAUCAUAUAGCUAUUAAUAUGAAUGCAAAGGAUGAACCUUUACCAGUUAAAGACACUGAAAAUGGUAAUGUGUCUACCAACAGAACUGGAGUUGCUGGUAAAUCUGAAAUUGAAAAGGAUUUGGAAGCUAUUCCAGCCUCUGAGAUAACUGAAGAACUAAAAGAUUCAGAAGCUACUCUGGAAUCAAUGUGCGUGGUGGAGGUGAAAGAAUUAGAAACAACCUUAGAAUCUGAGACCAUGGCAAAGAUUAAAUGUUCAGAAGCAAUUCUAAAAUCUCUGACUAUGGCAACUUCAGAGGGUUUCGAUGCCCCUCUAGAAUCUGUAGCCAUAGCGGAGCUGAACGCAACUGUAGAAUCUGUGGCUGUGACAAAUGAUUUGGUAGUAACUCCAACAUCUGUAGUUGUAAUGGAGAUGAAAGCUUUGGAAGAAACCGCAGGAUCUGUUGUCAUGACAGAUAUAAAAGAUUUGGAAACAACUCUAGAAACUGUGGGUGUGGCUGAGGCAAAAAGUUUGGAAGGAGGUCUAGAAUUUGUGACUGAGCCAGAUGAUUUGGUAGCGACUUCAAAAUCUGUGGCCGAGGCAGAGGUGAAUGGUUUGGAAGCAACUCAAAAAUCUGCGUCUGUGGUGCAAGUGAAAGGUUCAGAAGCAGCCCUAGAACCUGUGGCCAUGCAGGAAGCAAAAGAUUUGGAAAGAACCCUAGAAUCUGUCGCCCUGGGAAAAGGUUCACAAACAACCCUAGAACCUGUUGUGAAUGCAAAAGAUUUGGAAGCAGCUCUAAAAUUUGUGGUGGAGAUGAAAGAUUUGGAAGUAACUCCAGAAUCUCUGCACAUGGAGGAGGUGAAAGGUGCAGAAGGAACCCUAGAAUCUGUGGCUAUGGCAAUAGAUUUGGAAGGAACCCUCAAACUUGCUCCUGUGGCAGAGGCAAAAGAUUCAGAUGCAGCCUCACUGUCUCCGCAAAUGGAAGAUAUGAAAGAUUCAAAAGGAUUCCUAGAAUCUGUGGCCAUGAUAAAAGGUCCAGAAGCAAUCCUAGAUCCCAUAGGGGUGGCAGAAGGUCUAGAAACUAUCCUAGAACCUGCAGGGGUGGCAGAGGAGAAAGAUUUGGAAGGAAUUCCAGAAUCUCUGCACAUACAGGAUAUGGACAAUUCCUUAGAACCUGUAGUCAUGAGAACAGGUCUGGAAGUGGCUCUAGAACAUGUGGCUGUGGUGAAAAGUGCAGAAGCAACUCCACUUUCUAUGCAAAUGGAAGAAGUGAAAGAUUUGGAAGGAGCCCUAGUAGAAUCUGUGGCAGUGGCAAAAGGUUCAGAAGCAGCCCUAGAACAUGUUGUCUUGGCAGAGAAGAAAGCUAUGGAACCAACUUCACUAUCUCUGCAAAUGGAAGAUGUGAAAGAGUCAGAAGGAGUCCUAGAAUCUAUUGCCAUGGAAGAAGGCUCAGAAGCAACCCAGGGACCAGUGACAGAGGCAAAAAACUUGAAAGCAAUCCUAGAAUCUGUUUCGGAGGUGAGAGGUUCAGAACCAGCACCACUGUCUCUGCAGAUGGAAGAUGUGAAAGGUUCAGAAGGGGGUGUAAAAUCUUUGGCCAUAGCAAAAGGUUCAAAACCAACCCUGAAAGCUGUGGCUGUGGGGGAGGGAAGAGGUUCAGAAGCAACUCUGCUGUCUCUGGAAAUGGAGAAUGUGAAAGAUGAUGAAGAAGCCUUGGAAUCUGUGGCCAGGGCAAUAGGUUCAGAACCAACCCUAGAACCUGUGGCCAUUGCAGAGGCUCAAGGUCUGGAAGCAGUUCUGUCUCUGCAAAUGGAGAAUGUGAAAGAUUCAGAAGGAGCCCUGGAAUCUGUGGCCACGGCAAAAGAUUUAGAGGCACCUCUAGAACCUGUGGCAGAGGUGAAAGAUUCAGAAGCAAUGCUUCAGUCUCUGCAAAUGGAAGAUGUGAAAGAAUUAGAAGGAACCCUAGAAUCUGUUGUGGUGACAAAAGGUUUGGAAGCAACCCUAGGGCCUGAUGCGGAGGAGAAAGAUGCAAAAACACCUCCACUAUCUCUGCAAAUAGAAGAUGUGACAGAAUCAGAAGGAGUUCUAGAAUCUGUGUCUGUGGUGAAGUUGAAGGCUUUGGAAGCAGCCUUUGAGUCGGUAGUCAUGGUAGAGGUGAAGGAUUUAAAUAAACCUGUACAAGCUGAGUCUGAGGUCACAGCUCAGUUUAAAGAGUUGGAAGCAAUUCCCAAAUUUCUGUGCAUGGAGGGAGAUUUGGUAAUAACUCCAGAAUCUGAGACAACAUCAGAAGUGAAAAACUUGGAAAUAAUUGGACAAUCUGAAUCACUGGCAGAAGUGAAAGAUUUGGAAAGCACCGCAGAAUCUGAGGCAGUGGCCGAGUCAAAGGAUUCAGAAACAACUAAAGAAUCUCAGGUGGUGAUGGAAGUGAAAUAUUUGAAAACAAUUCCACAAUCCCAAGUCAUGACAGAAGUGAGUGAUUUGAAAAUAUCUCCACAUACUGAGGUGGAGGUGAUGAAAGGUUUUGAAACUGCUACAAAGUCUGAUGCCACUAUAAUGGAGGUAGAAGAUUCUGAAUCAACUCUGGAAUCUAGGGCAGUAGUAGAGGUGAAAGAUCCAGAAGCCACACUGGAAUCUGAGGCAAUAACAGGCAUAAAAUAUUCUAAAAAAAUUCUAGAAUCUGAGGCCACCACAGAGUUGAAACAUUCAGAAGCUAGUCCAGAAUCUUUACACCUGACAGACUUGAAAGAUUCUGGAAAAACUCCAGAACCUGAGGUGAUUAUGCGAAUGAAAGAUUCAAAAACAACUCAAAAAUCUAAGCCCAUCGCUCUGGGGAAAGAUUCUGAAGCUAGUCAAGAAUUGCUACAUGUAAUGGUAAAAGAUUUGCAAUCAACUCCAGAACCUGAGACUGUGACAGUCGUGAAAGAUUUGAAGGAAACUCUGGAGUGUGAGACAGUGGUGGCGAAAGAUUUGGAAACAACCCUAAAAUCUGAAGCAAUCAUGGAUGUAAAGCAUUCUAAAGCUGCUCCAGAAUCUUUGUAUAAAGCAAAGGUAAAGGAUUCAGAAGCAGUUCCAGAAUCCCUCUACUCAUCGAAGGUGAAAGUUGCGGAAUUAGCUCUAGAAUUGGAGGCAGCAGCAAAGGUGAAGGAUUUGAAAGAAACCCGAGAAUCUAAAGUCAUGGUAGACGUGAAAGAUUUGGAAACUGCUUCAGAAUCUGUGAUCAGGAUGAAGGUAAAAGAUUUGGAAGAAAUUCCAGAACGUUGGGAGUCAGUGGAUGUGAAAAUUUUGGAAACAUCUCCGGAAUCUGAGAAAACAGUGGAAGUAAAAUAUUCGGAAGCAACUCCAGAAGCUCAGGUGUUGACAGAGACGAAAGAUUUGGAAGAAACUCUGGAAUCUCUGUACACUGCAGAGGUGGAGGAGUUGGAAAAAAUUACAGAAUCUAUGCCAAUGGUAGAGGUGAAAGAAUCUGAGGCUGUGAUGGAUUUGAAAUUCUCAGCAACAACAGUAAAAUCUGAGAAAACAGUGGAGGUGAAAAUCUUGGAAGAUACACCAGUGUCUUUGACAGUGGAAAAGUUAAAAAAUUCAAAAGCAUGUCUAGAAUUUCUGCACCCUGAGGAAAUGAAAGAUUUGGAAGCAGAUGUAGAAGCUGAGGCUUCAACAGAUCUGAAGGAUAUGGAAGAAACUUUGGGCCCUGCACAGGUGAAAUAUUCAGAAGCAGUUUUGAAAUCUGUGGGAAUAGCAGAAAGAAAACAUUUAGGAACAACUGUAGAAAAUCCUAAUGCAGUGCUAGAUUUGGAACCAGUUUUAAAAUCUCAGCACACUGUGGAUCUGAAAUUUCCAGAAACUCAUCAGAUUCCGGAGUUAAAAGUGGAGGUGAAAGAUUCUGAAGCAGCUCUAGAAUCUGAGGCUAUUACAGAGGUAAAUGACUUGCAAGUUACUCCAGAGUCUGUGGCCAUGGUGGAGGUGAAAAAUUUGAAAGCAGUUCCAGAUUCUCUUCACACAGUACACGUGAAUAAUUUGGAAGCAACUCCAGAAUUUGUGGCAGCUGCAGAGAUGAAAAAUUUGGAAGCAGUUCCUGAAUCUGUGGUGGUGCUGGCAGAAGUGAAAGAUUUGGAAGUAGUUCCAGUUUCUCUGCAUACUGUAGGUGUGAAAGAUUUUGAAACAACUCCAGAAUCUGUGGUAGUGGCUGAAGAGGUGAAAGAUUUGGAAGCAGCUCUAGAAUCUGUUGUGACAGCAGCAAAAUUUAAAUACUCAGAAACAACUCCAGAAUCUGUGGUGGUGAUGGCAGAAAUGAAAGAUUUAGAAGCAGCUCUGAAAUCUGUGGUGGUGGCAGAAGUGAAGGACUUGAGAGCAGCUCCAGAAUCUUUGGCAGCAGAGGUGACAGAUUUGGAAGCAGCGCUAGAUGUGAAAGAUUCUGAAACAGCUCCAGAAUCUGUGGUGGUGGCUGAAGAGGUCAGAGAUUUGGAAGCAGUGCCAGAUGUUCUGCACACUGUAGAUGUGAAAGAUUCUGAAACAAGUACAGAAUCUCUGCUGGUAUCUUCAGAGGUGAAAGAUUCAGAAGCUGCUCCAGAAUCUGUUGUGACAAUGGCAGAAUUGAAAUAUUCAGAAACAAGUCCAGAAUCUGUGGUGGCUACUGCAGAAGUGAAAGAUUUAGAAGCAGUUCCGGAAUCUGUGGCAGAGAUGAAGGAUUUGGAGUCUGCUCCAGAUGCUGUGGUGGUGGUGGCAGAGGUGAAAGAUUUGAAAGCAUCUCCAGAAUCUUUGGCAGCGGUGGCAGCAGAAGUGACAGAUUUGGAAGCAGCUCCAGAUUUUCGGUGUAUUGUAGAUGUGAAAGAUUCUGGAACAACUACAGAAUAUGUGAUAGCGGCUGAAGAGGUGACAGAUUUGGAAGCAGCUCCAGAUAUCCUGUGUACUGUAGAUGUGAGAGAUUCUGAAAGAACUCCACAAUCUAUGGUAGUGGCUGCAGGGAUGAAGGAUUCUGAAACCAGUCCAGAAUCGGUGGCAGAGGUAAAAUACUCAGAAACAAGUCCAGAAUCUGUGGUAGUGACAGCAGAGGUUAAAGAUUUGGAAGCAGCACCAGAAUCUGUAGUGACAGCGACAGAAGUGAAAGAUUUGCAAGCUGUUCCAGUUUCUCUGAUGUCGGUGGCAGAUGUAGAAGAUUCAGAAGGAGCUAGUGAGUCUCUGCAUACUGUAGAUAUGAGUGAUUCAGAAGCAGCUCCAAAAUCUGUGGGGUUGGCUGCAGAGAUGAAAGAUUUGGAAGAAGCUCCAGAAUCUGUGGUGGCCAUGGCAGAGGUGAAAAAUGUGGAAGCACCUCCAGAUUCUUGGUAUAUAGCGUACAUUAAAGAUUCAGAAACAACUCAGGAAUCUGUGGCAGUGAUAGCAGAGGUGAAUGAUUUGGAAGCAACUCCAGCAUUUAGGGCAGUGGCGGCAGAGGCGAAAGAUUCAGAAGCAGCUUCGGAAUCUGUGGUGAUAGCGGCAGAGGGGAAGGAUUUGCAAGCUGCUCCGGAUUCUCUGGUGAUGGUGGCAGAAGUAGAAGAUUCAGAAGCAGCUAGUGUUUCUCUGCAAACUUUAGAUGUGAAUGAUUUAGAAGCAGCUCGAGAAUCCAUGGAGGCUACGGCAGAGGUGAAAAAUUUGGAGGCAGCUCCAGAUUCUCUGUAUACGCUGUACGUUAAAGAUUCAGAAACAACUCAAGAAUCUGUGGCAGUGAGAGCAGAGGUGAAUGAUUUGGAAGCAACUCCAGCCUUUGGGGCAGUGGCAGCAGCGGUGAAAGAUUUGGGAGCACCCCCAGAAUCGAUGGCGGCUGUGGCAGCGGCGGAAGUUUCAGGAGUGCCUCCAGAAUCUGUGGCGGUAGUGAAGGAGAAUGAUGAAGAUCUUUUUAAAAAAAAGAAAGCAUAUGAAAAAAGUAACAAGAGUAGUGAUAAAAAUAAACAAGAUGCAAAGAAAUUAAAAAGGAGUAAAUCUAAAUCUCUUUCACGAUCCAGGAAGCGGAAAAAGAAGUCCAGGUCACGUUCUGUCUCUAAACAUUUGAAAUGUAAAAGAGCAAGGUCUAGGAGCAGAAACUACUCGGAUUCCAGAAAGAAACAUUCCACAUCUUAUGACAAGUCUAGAUCCAGAUCUGUUGAAAAAAGAAGGGGCAAAGACUCUUCCUGGAGGUCCAGACGCAGGCGCUCCAGGUCCUCUGAUGGUGUCAAGUCAAGAUCCAGAUCCAUUGAUAAAAGGGAAGGCAAAGACUCUUCCUGGAGAUCCAGACGUAGGCGCUCCAGGUCCUCUGAUCAUCUCAAGUCUAAAUCCAGAUCUGUUGAAAAAAGAGAGGGCAAAGAUUCUUCACGGAGGUCUAGACGCAGACGCUCUAAGUCAUCUGAUCGUUUCAAGUCUAGAUCCCGAUCUGUUGAAAAAAGAGAGCGCAAAGAUUCUUCACAGCGGUCUAGACGCAGACACUCCAAGUCCUUGGAUCGUCUCAAGUCUAGAUCCAGAUCCAGGUCUGUUGAAAAAAAAGGGCACAAAGACUCCUCAUGGAGGUCCAGACGCAGACGCUCCAAGUCCUCUGAUCGUCUCAAAUCUAGAUCCAGAUCUGUUGAAAAAAGAGAGCGCAAAGACUCUUCAUGGAGGUCUAGACGCAGACGCUCUAAGUCCUCUGAUCGUCUCAAGUCCAGAUCCAGAUCCAGAUCUUUUGAAAAAAGGGGUGGCAAAGAAUCUUCCUGGAGAUCCAGACGCAGACGCUCCAAGUCCUCUGAUCGUUUCAAGUCCAGAUCCAGAUCUUUUGAAAAAAGAGGUGGCAAAGAAUCUUCCUGGAGGUCCAGACGCAGACGUUCCAAGUCCUCUGAUCGUCUCAAAUCAAAAUCCAGAUCCAGAUCUUUUGAAAAAAGGGGUAGCAAAGCAUCUUCCUGGAGGUCUAGACGCAGACGCUCUAAGUCUUCUGAUCGUCUCAAAUCAAAAUCCAGAUCCAGAUCUGUUGACAAAAGAAGUGGCAAAGAAUCUUCCUGGAGGUCGAGACGCAGACGCUCCAAAUCCUCCGAUCGUCUCAAGUCAAGAUCGAGAUCUGUUGAAAAAAGAGGGGGCAGAGACUCUUCACGGAGGUCUAAACGUAGACGCUCCAAGUCCUCGGAUCGUCUCAAAUCUAGAUCAAGAUCUGUUGAAAAAAGAGGCGGCAGAGACUCUUCACGGAGGUCUAAACGUAGACGCUCCAAAUCCACUGAUCAUCACAAGUCUAGAUCCAAAUCUGUUGAAAAAAUAGGUAGUAAAGAGUCUUCACGGAGGUCUAAACGUAGACGUUCCAAGUCUUCUGAUCGUCUCAAAUCUAGGUCCAAAUCUGUUGAAAAACUGGGAACCAAAGAGUCUUCAUGGAGGUCCAGACGCAGAUGCUCAAAAUCCUUUGAUGGUCUAAAGUCUAGAUCUAGGUCCAAAUCUGUUGAAAAAAGAGAGAGUAAGGGGUCUUCACGGAGAUCUAGAAGUAAACGCUCCAAGUCUUUUGAACAUCACAAAUUGAGAUCCAAAUCUGUUGAAAGAAUAGAGGUACAGGAACCUUCGCAGUGGUCUCGAAAUAGCUGCUCUAAGUCUUCUGAGGGUCAAAAGUCAAGAUCCAAAUCUGUUGAAGAAGUAGAGGCUCAGGAGCCUUCACAGAGGUCUCGAAGUAGCCGCUCCAAGUCUUUUGAACGUCACACAUCUGGAUCCAAAUCUGUUGAAGAAAUAGAGGGAAAAGAAUCUUCACCGAGGUCUCGAAGUAGCCGCUCCAAGUCUUCUGAACGUAACAAAUCCAGAUCCAAAUCUGUUGAAGAAAUAGUGGUUCAGGAGCCUUCACAGAGGUCUCGAAGUAGCCGCUCCAAGUCUUUUGAACGUCACAAGUCCAGAUCCAAAUCUGUUGAACAAGUGGAGGUGCGGAAGCCUUCAGGGAUGUCUCAAAGUAGCCGUUCCAAGUCUUUUGAACAUCUUCAGUGCAGAUCCAAAUCUGUUGCAGGAAUAGAGGUGCAGGAGCUUUCACAAAGGUUUCGAAGUAGCCACUCCAAGUCUUCUGAAUGUGUCACAUCUGAAUCCAAAUCUGUUCAAGAAAUAGAGGCUCAUGAGCCUGCAGAGAGGUCUCGAAGCAGCUGCUCUAAGUCUCCUGAACUUCAAAAGUCUAGAUCCAAAUCUGUUGAAAAAAUAGAGGGCAAAGAUUCUUCACAGAGAUCUCGAAGUAGCCGCUCCAGGUCUUCUGAGCGUCACAAGUCCAGAUCCAAAUCUGUUGAAGAAAUGGAGGUUGUGGAGCCUUCACAGAGGUCUCGAAGUAGCCGCUCCAGAUCUUCUGAACGUCACACGUCUAGAUCCAAAUCUGUUGAAAAAAUAGAGGCUGAAGAUUCUUCACAGAGAUCUCGAAGUAGCCGCUCCAAGUCUUCUGAGCGUCACAAGUCUAGAUCCAAAUCUGUUGAAGAAAUAGAAGUUGAGGAGCCUUCACAGAGGUCUCGAAGUAGCCGCUCCAGAUCUUCUGAACGUCACACGUCUAGAUCCAAAUCUGUUGAAAAAAUAGAGGCUGAAGAUUCUUCACAGAGAUCUCGAAGUAGCCGCUCCAAGUCUUCUGAGCGUCACAAGUCUAGAUCCAAAUCUGUUGAAGAAAUAGAAGUUGAGGAGCCUUCACAGAGGUCUCGAAGUAGCCGCUCCAGAUCUUCUGAACGUCACACGUCUAGAUCCAAAUCUGUUGAAAAAAUAGAGGCUGAAGAUUCUUCACAGAGAUCUCGAAGUAGCCGCUCCAAGUCUUCUGAGCGUCACAAGUCUAGAUCCAAAUCUGUUGAAGAAAUAGAAGUUGAGGAGCCUUCACAGAGGUCUCGAAGUAGCCGCUCCAGAUCUUCUGAACGUCACACGUCUAGAUCCAAAUCUGUUGAAAAAAUAGAGGCUGAAGAUUCUUCACAGAGAUCUCGAAGUAGCCGCUCCAAGUCUUCUGAGCGUCACAAGUCUAGAUCCAAAUCUGUUGAAGAAAUAGAAGUUGAGGAGCCUUCACAGAGGUCUCGAAGUAGCCGCUCCAGAUCUUCUGAACGUCACACAUCUAGAUCCAAAUCUGUUGAAAAAAUAGAGGUUAAAGAUUCUUCACAGAGAUCUCGAAGUAGCCGCUCUAAGUCUUCUGAGCGUCACAAGUCUAGAUCCAAAUCUGUUGAAGAAAUAGAAGUUGAGGAGCCUUCACAGAGGUCUCGAAGUAGCCGCUCCAGAUCUUCUGAACGUCCCACGUCUAGAUCCAAAUCUGUUGAAAAAAUAGAGGUCAAAGAUUCUUCACAGAGCUCUCGAAGUAGCCGCUCCAAGUCUUCUGAAUGUCACAAGUCUAGAUCCAAAUCUGUUGAAGAAAUAGAGGUUGAGGAGCCUUCAGAGAGGUCUCGAAGUAGCUGCUCCAAAUCUUCCGAGCGUCACAAGUCCAGAUCCAAAUCUGUUGAAGAAAUGGAGGUUGUGGAGCCUUCACAGAGGUCUCGAAGUAGCCGCUCCAGAUCUUCUGAACGUCACACGUCUAGAUCCAAAUCUGUUGAAAAAAUAGAGGCCAAAGAUUCUUCACAGAGAUCCCGAAGUAGCCGCUCCAAGUCUUCUGAGCGUGACAAGUCUAGAUCCAAAUCUGUUGAAGAAAUGGAGGUUGUGGAGCCUUCACAGAGGUCUCGAAGUAGCCGCUCCAGAUCUUCUGAACGUCACACGUCUAGAUCCAAAUCUGUUGAAAAAAUAGAGGCCAAAGAUUCUUCACAGAGAUCCCGAAGUAGCCGCUCCAAAUCUUCUGAACGUCACAUGUCUAGAUCCAAAUCUGUUGAAAAAAUAGAGGCUAAAGAUUCUUCACAGAGAUCUCGAAGUAGCCGCUCCAAGUCUUCUGAGCGUCACAAGUCUAGAUCCAAAUCUGUUGAAGAAAUAGAAGUUGAGGAGCCUUCACAGAGGUCUCGAAGUAGCCGCUCCAGAUCUUCUGAACGUCACACAUCUAGAUCCAAAUCUGUUGAAGAAAUAGAGGUUGAGGAGGCUUCACAGAGGUUUCGAAAUAGCCGCUCCAAGUCUUCUGAGCGUCACAAGUCCAGAUCCAAAUCUGUUGAAGAAAUAGAGGUUGAGGAGCCUUCACAGAGAUCUCGAAGUAGCCGCUCCAGAUCUUCUGAACGUCACAAGUCCAGAUCCAAAUCUGUUGAAGAAAUAGAGGUUGAGGAGCCUUCACAGAGAUCUCGAAGUAGCCGCUCCAAAUCUUCUGAACGUCACAAGUCCAGAUCCAAAUCUGUUGAGGAAAUGGAGGUUCAGGAGCCUUCACAGAGAUCUCGAAGUAGCCGCUCCAAAUCUUCUGAACGUCACAAGUCCAGAUCCAAAUCUGUUGAGGAAAUAGAGAUUCAGGAUCCUUCACAGAGGGGUCAAAGGAGCCGCUCCAGAUCUUCUGAACGUCACACGUCUAGAUCCAAAUCUGUUGAAAAAAUUGAGGGCAAAGAUUCUUCACAGAAGUCUCAGAGUAGCCGCUCCAAGUCUCCUGAACUUCAAAAGUCUAGGUCCAAAUCUGUUGAAAAAAUAAAGGGCAAAGAUUCUUCACAGAAGUCUCGGAGUAGCCGCUCCAAGUCUCCUGAACUUCAAAAGUCUAGAUCCAAAUCUGUUGAAAAAAUAAAGGGCAAAGAUUCUUCACAGAAGUCUCGGAGUAGCCGCUCCAAGUCUCCUGAACUUCAAAAGUCUAGAUCCAAAUCUGUUGAAAAAAUAAAGGGCAAAGAUUCUUCACAGAAGUCUCGGAGUAGCCGCUCCAAGUCUCCUGAACUUCAAAAGUCUAGAUCCAAAUCUGUUGAAAAAAUAAAGGGCAAAGGUUCUUCACAGAGGUUUCGGAGUAGCCGCUCCAAGUCUCCUGAACUUCAAAAGUCUAGAUCAAAAUCUGUUGAAAAAAUAAAGGGCAAAGUGUCUUCACAAAGGUCUAGAAGAAAACGCUCCAAGUCUUCUGAACGUCACAAGUCUAGAUCCAAAUCAGUUGAAAAAGUAGAAGGCAAAGAGUCUUCACAGAGGUCUAGAAAUAAGCACUCUAAAUCCUCUGAGCGCAAAUUGCAAAAACAUGAUAGCGAAUUGCGGUCUAGACGAAAUCGGUCUCGGUCAGUAACACGUAAAAGACUGUCAAAAUCUAAAUCUAAUCAUCGGUCUCGGACACGCUCCCUGUCACGUUCAAGACACAGGAGGAGGACUCGGUCUAGAUCAGUGUCAAAAAGGAGACGGUCUUUAUCAAGAGAGAGACACAAAAGAUCUCAAAGGAACAGAUCACGGUCUGCUGAUCGAAGAAGAAGGAGAUCAAACUCAAGGGAUCACCGAAUAGUGCUCAGGUUACGGACCAGAAGUCGAACACCUAUUCGACGAAAACGGUCUAGGUCUGUGGGAAGAAGACGAAGCUCUAGCAAAUCACCAGUUCGACUAAGGAGAUCAAGAUCACCUGGGAGGAGAAGAUGUUAUAGCAGAUCACCUGAUCGUCAAAGAAGGUCCAGGUCAUCCGAUAAGUUUUCUAGCAGAUCACCUAAACGUCUUACAGACUUAGACAAGGCCCAGCUACUUGAAAUAGCCAAAGCUAAUGCAGCUGCCAUGUGUGCUAAGGCUGGUGUCCCCUUACCACCAAGCCUACUGCCUAUUAUAGCUCCAGCAAAGAAGGAGGAGAAAGUUACUCAGAAGUCAGCAAGAGAUACAAUAAAGGAGCUCACUGAGAAAUGCAAGAAGAUUGCACAAAGCACAGAUGACGUGAUCGUGAACAAGCCUCAUGAUUCUGAUGAAGAGGAGGAAGAACGCCCUUUCUAUAAUCAUCCUUUUAAACUCAAUGAACCCAAACCCAUUUUUUUCAACUUAAAUACCACUCCUAUCGUAAAACCAGCACCAAAAAAUCAGGUAACUUUGACAAAGGAGUUCCCUGUCUCAUCUGGGUCUCAACACAGGAAAAAAGAAGCUGACAGUGUCUAUGGAGAAUGGGUUCCAGUUGAGAAAAGCAAAGAAGAAAGCAAAGAUGAUGUUUUCCCCAAACCAGCUCUUGCACAGACUGUGGACAUCUCUACGGCAAUGAAUGAACGAACAAUGGCUCAGAAGAGGCUUACAGAAAAUACAUUUGACUUAGAGGCCAUGUGCUUGUUAAAUCGUGCACAGGAACAGAUUGAUGCCUGGGCGCAGUCAAACUCUCUGCCGGGCCAAUUCACAGGAAGUACUGGAGCACAGAUUUUGUCCUCAGAUGAGUUGUCCAACAGUGGUCCCCAAGCCUGGAUUAGAAAGGAUCAGUUCUUAAGAGCAGCCCCUGUAACUGGAGGCAUGGGAGCCCAGCUGAUGAGAAAAAUGGGCUGGAGAGAAGGAGAGGGGUUAGGAAAAAACAGAGAAGGAACUGUGGAGCCUAUCCUAGUGGAUUUUAAGACAGAUCGAAAAGGUCUUGUUGCAGUGGGAGAAAAGACACAAAAGAGAUCGGGACAUUUUAGUGUAAUGAAGGAUCUUUCAGGUAAACAUCCAGUUUCUGCAUUGAUGGAGAUAUGUAAUAAAAGAAGAUGGUCUCCACCUGUGUUCGUAUUGGUGGAUGAUAGUGGGCCUGAUCAUCGCAAACAUUUUAUCUUUAAGGUGAUGGUCAAUGGGCAUGAAUACAGACCUAUUUUCCCAGCCUUAAUAAGAAGCAUGCUAAAGCCACAGCAGCAACUGCGGCUCUCCAAGCGAUGGGACUUGUACCAAAGGACAGCAUGCCCAAUGCCACCAUCUUCAGGAGUGCCUCACACCGCUAGAUAUUGUUUUUUAUAUUGACAUUAUUUCAAAUAAUUUUAUUCUGCACAAGAAAGGUAUUUCCCCGUUUCAUGUUGUAAAUAAAUUGGUGAAUCCCACAUUGUAAAAACUGUACAGACACCUUCAAGAUUUUCUUUUGUACCAUCAAAAAUGUAUUUAAAUCAUACUUAGUUUUUGGUAUGUUUAUAUUGUUUACAUUAGUGAUGUAAUUAUUUCUUAAAUGACUAAAUUCAACAGGCAGACUCUGGAGGGCAUCGGUAAUCUAAACCUUUGUUUUAAAACUCAUGCAAUUUCUCUUUGAAAUUCUUGCAAGUUCUCUUCAAUAUGGAAUGUUAACCUUUCAUACUCUUUUGUACUAUAAUGCAGUUUUCCCUGGUCUUGGUAAAGCUACUGUUGUAGUACUUUUGCCUAUACCCAGUACAAGGCUGUGCAGCUUAUCAUAGUCUAGAAAAAGGCUGGUAUGUACUGCUGGACAGAUACUGGGCCAGUAAUGUUACCCCUCCAAGAAGGUAGGUAAUUGUGGCACUGUUGUACAAUGCUAACAUUACCACUUCUCUCUGUCUUGUUUGGGGUUUAAGUCAGUGGUGUACUGCAACUGGCCAUAUUGCUUACUUUUUAAGACUAAAAAGAAUAGGCAAAUGACCUGGCUUAAAUGGGAGGGAAGAAAGUCCAGCAAUGAAAUUGAUGAGAAUUGCAGUGUAAAAGUGUGUCUCCCCUGCAUGUUCUGCUUGUAUCCUGUCAACUGCACACAACUCCACAAAUUCACAAAGACAAAAUGGAGCUCCUCUUAUGUAUCAAGCUGUCCUUUGGCCUGAGGGGAAGGAGCUUUGCUAUAGGAGCCAGAAGAUGAAUUCUAGUCCCGUUUCUUCCAUGGAUUAAUGUCAAUUCUCUAUCCUUUGCACCUUUUUAUUGAACAAAAUAUCAAUGUCCCAUGUCAGAGUGACUGAAGGCCAGAAGUGUAGUAUAAAAGUCACCUUUGUCAAAGCUGGGAAUAGAACCUCGCUGUCUAAUAUGGCAGAUGAGUUUCAUCCAUGCUUGUCUGUCAGCAAAACGCAUAAAAUGUGUGCUUCGCUAAGCUAUUUGUGAAAUGGGACUGUUCCUCCGUAACCACCUGUACAAAGUGCUUUGACAAAGAGCUGAAUAAAUACUAUAGAGAUAAAGCACUGCUUAAAAAUAAAGUAGCAUGCAAGAGUCCCA